AUUGAACGCUGGCGGCAGGCCUAACACAUGCAAGUCGAACGCGUGGCGGACGGGUGAGAUGUGUGUGGGAAACUGCCUGAGGGGGGGGGAUAAACACUGGACACGGUCUCUAACACCGCAUAACAUCAGGUGUGCCUAGAUGGGUUGGGCUAGUUGGUGGGGUAACGGCUCACCAAGGAGACGAUCCCUAGCUGGUCUGAGAGGAUGAUCAGCCACACUGGAACUGAGACACGGUCCAGACUCCUACGGGAGGCAGCAGUGGGGAAUAUUGCACAAUGGGCGCAAGCCUGAUGCAGCCAUGCCGCGUGUAUGAAGAAGGCCUUCGGGUUGUAAAGUACUUUCAGCGGGGAGGCGUUACCCGCAGAAGAAGCACCGGCUAACUCCGUGCCAGCAGCCGCGGUAAUAC
rnacentral:rRNA from 1 species